rnacentral:sRNA from 1 species
GCUGGCCAUCAGUGGAACUGUAGGGCUCGCUAAGCAGAGCUGCAGAGUGGAGACACCACCCAAAUACCCCUCAGAGCUGAGUUCAGUGCCUGGCUGGGUUUAGUGUUUUUAGUAUGAACUUGAGUAGUGAGGGAGGCACACUUGAGGCAAGGAGCAGGUGGCAGAGAGCAAUAACAGCUCUGAAGAAAAGCUAGAGGCUGAUGAGAUGACCAUGACUUGGGGUGAGGGGAGAGAGCAAGACAAGGACUGCUCUGUCGGGAAGGCCUUUGACUGGGGGCCUGAAUGAUGGAGAGCCAGCCACAUGAAAAACUUAAAAAGAGCACUGCAGGCAAGGAAUCGGUAAAUGCAAAGGCCCUGGGGCAUGUUGAAGGGUGGAAGGAAGGCCAGUGGAGCUGGAGCCAAGAGACUGAGGGGCAGCUUGGUGGGUGAAGAGCCCCAGGGACCCGCAGUGUCAUAACCUAGGAGCUUCUUAGAAAUGCAGACUGA